UGAAUACGAGACGCUACGGCGUCGAAGCAGUCUAUGUCAUACUUCCAAGAAAAGCUCGCAAUGUCAUAAACAAAUAAUGCCUGUACCAUAACCGACACAGGUGGGUAGGUAGAGUAUACUAAGGGGCGCGAGAUAACUCUCUCUAAGGAACUCGGCAAAAUGACUCCGUAACUUCGGGAGAAGGAGUGCCUUAUUUAUAAGGUUGCAAUAACAAGAUCCAAGCAACUGUUUAUCAAAAACACAGGUCUCCGCUAAGUCGUAAGACGAUGUAUGGGGGCUGACGCCUGCCCAGUGCCAGAAGGUUAAAGAAGUUGGUUAGCAUUCGCGAAGCUGAUAACUGAAGCCCUGGUGAACGGCGGCCGUAACAAUAACGGUCCUAAGGUAGCGAAAUUCCUUGUCGGGUAAGUUCCGACCCGCACGAAAGGCGUAAUGAUUUGGAUACUGUCUCGGAGAGGGGCUCGGUGAAAUAGACUUGUCUGUGAAGAUGCGGACUACCUGCACCUGGACAGAAAGACCCUAUGAAGCUUUACUGUAACUUGAAAUUGAAAUUGGACUUUAUUUGCGCAGCAUAGGUGGGAGGCGUUGAGAGUAUUCUUGCGGGAAUAUUGGAGCCAUCAGUGAGAUACCACUCUUGUAAUGUUAGAUUUCUAACUUUGGAUCAUUAUCUGGUCAAAGAACAGUUUCAGGCGGGCAGUUUGACUGGGGCGGUCGCCUCCCAAAUGGUAACGGAGGCGUACAAAGGUUUCCUCUGAACGGGUAGAAAUCGUAUCUAGAGUGUAAAGGCAUAAGGAAGCUUGACUGUGAGACCUACAAGUCGAGCAGGGACGAAAGUCGGUCUUAGUGAUCUGACGGUGCUGAGUGGAAAGGCCGUCACUCAACGGAUAAAAGUUACUCUAAGGAUAACAGGCUGAUCUCCCCCAAGAGUUCACAUCGACGGGGAGGUUUGGCACCUCGAUGUCGGCUCAUCGCAUCCUGGGGCGGUAGUACGUCCCAAGGGUUGGGCUGUUCGCCCAUGAAAGCGGUACGCGAGCUGGGUUCAGAACGUCGUGAGACAGUUCGGUCCAUAUCCGGUGUAGGCGUUAGAAUAUUGAGAGGAGCCUUCUUUAGUACGAGAGGACCGAGAAGGACAUACCUCUGGUGUACCAGUUAUCGUGCCAACGGUAAACGCUGGGUAGCUAUGUAUGGAGAGGAUAACCGCUGAAAGCAUCUAAGUGGGAAGCCCACCUCAAGAUAAGUAUUCUCAU
rnacentral:rRNA from 1 species